UACGUAGGGUGCAAGCGUUGUCCGGAAUUAUUGGGCGUAAAGAGCUUGUAGGCGGUUUGUCGCGUCUGCUGUGAAAUUUCGGGGCUCAACCCCGAACUUGCAGUGGGUACGGGCAGACUAGAGUGUGGUAGGGGAGACUGGAAUUCCUGGUGUAGCGGUGAAAUGCGCAGAUAUCAGGAGGAACACCGAUGGCGAAGGCAGGUCUCUGGGCCAUAACUGACGCUGAGGCGCGAAAGCGUGGGGAGCGAACAGG
rnacentral:rRNA from 1 species